UAUGAAGGCAGCUGCCGAUGGUUCCAGAU
rnacentral:piRNA from 1 species